GGCGCCAGCUGUCUAUUUGGAAGUUCCGGGAAGGUAACGCAUGCGCGAGUGUACGCGUUGCCGGCGAAGAGGGGAGCCUGACGACUCGGAAAUUUGAAUACCACAGUAGCAUGGAGUGUGACCUCAUGGAGACUGACAUCUUGGAGUCGUUGGAAGAUCUAGGUUACAAGGGUCCAUUGUUAGAAGAUGGCGCUCUGUCUCAGGCAGUCUCUAGUGGAGCCAGUUCCCCCGAGUUUACCAAACUCUGUGCUUGGCUGGUGUCUGAAUUAAGAGUGCUCUGUAAACUAGAGGAAAAUGUGCAAGCAACUAACAGCCCGAGUGAAGCUGAAGAAUUCCAGCUUGAGGUGAGUGGGCUACUAGGGGAAAUGAACUGUCCGUAUCUUUCACUGACAUCAGGGGAUGUGACCAAGCGCCUUCUCGUUCAGAAGAACUGCCUCCUUUUGCUCACAUACCUCAUCUCAGAACUAGAAGCUGCCAGAAUGCUCUGUGUGAAUGCUCCUCCAAAAAAAGCUCAAGAAGGAGGCGGUAGUGAGGUCUUUCAAGAGUUGAAAGGCAUAUGUAUUGCUCUAGGAAUGUCCAAACCUCCAGCCAAUAUAACUAUGUUCCAAUUCUUCAGCGGGAUUGAAAAAAAAUUAAAGGAAACAUUAGCAAAAGUUCCACCUAAUCAUGUGGGAAAGCCUUUAUUGAAGAAACCAAUGGGACCAGCCCACUGGGAAAAGAUAGAAGCGAUUAACCAAGCCAUAGCCAAUGAAUAUGAAGUUCGGAGAAAGCUGCUAAUAAAACGCCUGGAUGUCACUGUACAGUCCUUUGGCUGGUCUGACAGAGCUAAGAGUCAGACAGAAAAACUAGCAAAGGUUUACCAGCCAAAACGCUCAGUCUUAUCUCCUAAAAGUGUUAUUUCUGUUGCCCAUCUUUUGGCUGCAAGACAAGAUUUGUCAAAGAUUUUAAGGACAAGCAGUGGCUCUAUAAGAGAAAAGACUGCCUGUGCCAUCAAUAAGGUGUUGAUGGGCAGGGUGCCUGACAGAGGUGGUAGACCCAACGAAAUUGAACCUCCGCCCCCAGAGAUGCCGCCUUGGCAGAAAAGGCAAGAUGGCCCCCAGCAGCAAGCAGGAGGCCGAGGAGGAGGGAGAGGCGGUUAUGAACAUUCCUCAUAUGGAGGACGAGGAGGUCACGACCAAGGAGGAGGAGGGCGAGGUGGACGUGGUGGCUACGACCAGGGUGGACGUGGUGGCUACGACCAGGGUGGUCGUGGUGGCUAUGACCAAGGUGGUCGAGGGGGAGGAAGAGGAAAUAAGCAUCAAGGAGGCUGGACAGAUGGAGGGAGUGGAGGAGGAGGGGGCUACCAAGAUGGUGGUUACCGAGAUUCGGGUUUCCAGCCAGGCGGCUAUCAUGGUGGUCACAGUGGUGGCUAUCAAGGCAGUGGUUAUGGUGGCUUCCAAACAUCUACAUAUACAGGAAGCGGAUACCAGGGUGGUGGAUACCAACAGGACAAUAGAUACCAAGAUGGUGGGCACCAUGGUGAACGAGGCAGUGGUCGUGGAGGGAGAGGUGGUCGUGGAGGCCGAGGUGGUCGCGGAGGCCAGGGAGGAGGUUGGGGAGGGAGAGGGAGCCAGAAUUAUCACCAAGGGGGUCAAUUUGAACAGCACUUCCAGCAUGGAGGUUAUCAGUAUAAUCAUUCUGGAUUUGGACAGGGAAGACAUUAUACUAGUUGAGGCUACAGAACCUUACAUGUUGCUAGAGCUCAAGUAAUAGAAACUUAGUUUCAGAAUCCGGAAUCCAGAAUUGAUUUUGAAUUCAUGUGAGACCACAGGUGGCAGGCAGAUUCCUGCUUGGUACAAGCAUUUGUAGGUCAUCAUUCAAUUCUGUUUUAUUUCUUUUUUUUUAAUGGAUUUACAUAAUGCUGUUUAUUUGAGAAAUACAUACAACAUCUCUCCUUUGUAUGAAGAAGUUUUUAAAAAGGUAAUAAAAUUGCCUUUAAUCUUUGACCAGUCGACUAAUUCCACGGCCAGACAUGCAUACUUUUUUGAAGAAGCUACUGAAAUAAGUAGUUUUCAUCUUUUCAAUAUGCAGUUUUGAAAAUGAGGAUUCUCCUAGAUUUUUUUAGAUAUACAACUAGGAAGUCUUCCUCUUAGUAACAACCCAUUUAUAUGUGUUUUGCUUAAAAUAUUCUAAUGCCUUUUUUCCAAGCACAGUUCUGCCCCUGGUUGGCUUUUUUAUUCAGAGUGGUUAUGCCACAUUUGCUUCAUUAUACACCUUGUAGGUCAGUUCCUAUUAAAUGAGCUCUUCUGCAGAUAGCACAUUCAGUAGCCUUAUCUUUUUGAUGGAAUACUGUACCAUACACUCAACUCUGAAAACCUUGAACACAGCCAAAACCUAUAAAGAUUAUAAAAGCAAACCGAGUUGUAAACCUAUUUAGGUCAUGUAGGCAUCUAGUUAAGUAUACAAUUCAAACUGACCUGCAUCCAUCCAAAACAGGUUCCUCCUUUGACCUUAUUUUUACUUGAAAUUGCUAGAAGAAACAGCAAACUGAAAUUUGUUUUAUGCAUGAGUUAAUACUGCUGGCUCAGCAAAUACAAGUUAGUUUGCUUUGGGCAGGAGGCUUUUUUGGUAAUGGAAGAAAUGCACUACCAAGUAAGAAGACAGAUAUUUGCUUAGUGCAGGAGGCCCUUUAUGAUUGCUGCAGAAAACAAAAGCCUAGCUGAGUUGAUGUUUUACAUUCUCCUUUACUAAAAUCUCCAUGACGCUUCUUGCUGGGUUUUUGUACACAUAAACAUUGUCAAGCUGUGAAAGAAAAUGGCUGGAGGUAUGUUUUGUGUGAAAGGCAAGGAAAGAGGCCUGCAGUGCUAUUCGGUAAACAUUGAUGAGUGCCUGCUAUAUUCCAGGAACUGUUUUAGGCAUUUGAGGUUCAAUGGGACCAGUUACGUGGUAUAGAAGAAGUUCAGUUACACCAAGCCAACUACACUAACGUGGAACUAUAGAGAAACUUGUUUCAUCCUAACAAAUCCUCAGUUUUCAGAAGUUGGCAAAGAAAUUUCUAAGGCAACAAGAAGCAGAAAGUAAAUCCCAACGUAAAGGGAUGAACAAGGGCUUUUUUGUAAUCGUAUAUGCAAUGAUGAUGAA